UACGUAGGGUGCGGGCGUUAAUCGGAAUUACUGGGCGUAAAGGGUGCGCAGGCGGCCCCGCAUGUCGGGAGUGAAAUCCCCGGGCUUAACUUGGGAAUUGCAUCCGAAACUACGGGGCUGGAGUGUGGCAGAGGGAGGUGGAAUUCCACGUGUAGCGGUGAAAUGCGUAGAGAUGUGGAGGAACACCAAUGGCGAAGGCAGCCUCCUGGGCCAACACUGACGCUCAUGCACGAAAGCGUGGGUAGCAAACAGG
rnacentral:rRNA from 1 species